UCUCUAUGUCUGGAGCUCCUGGACAUAAGACCUAGAGGUAUCUGGUUCUGAGAAGAGGAAGUUUUGCUAAGUGAGAGACACAGCUGACUCAACUGACUCAGAAAACUGAGUAUCUUCCUGGUCCCUGAAAGAUCCUAUAGAGACAUCCAGUCCCUGACUCCACCUGCCUCCAGGUGCCCAGAACAGCCCAUCGUGGGGACUUCACCCUCAGCAAGUGGACGCUGUUUGUCCUGCCGGGGCAGGGACACCGAGCUGGGGACAUGGGGCAUGAGCAGGUUGAUGUCGGGAAAUACACCAAUCACCUCGGGAUUGUGCACGCGGACCCUGGGG